ensembl:lincRNA
CAGCUUAACAGGCAGAUGACUGGUUUGUGACUAGAGUAUCUUUUCUGAGAUGAAAAAGCAAUACAAAUGCUCCCCAGAAGGAUGCCAGGCAGGCGGAGAGCGGCAGGGCCGUGCGGGGGCUGCGCCCGGGGAGGUCCUCAUCACAAACUGGAUUGCCAGGGAGGGUCGGUGCCCGCCCCAAGACACGCGCCUCUGAAACGCUGAAAGGGACUCACGUGCUUUAGGAACCAGAUCUGGGAAUUCGCUACGUGUGAGAGUUUCAAAGUGUUCACGCAUUGAGAGGAUAAGGCCAGGAGAUGCAAAUAUUUCAAGAAUAAAGCGGGAGAAGAUAAGGCACAAAUCUCAUCGUCACGGAGAAAUGGAGGCAGAACCUGGAGGCGCGCCCUGAGCCGGGAGGCAGGCAGACCGCCCGUUCCUGGGUCGGGUGACUCACUUCCAUCCCUCUUUUUCCACAGGUGACUUCUGGCAUCUGAACAGAAAUGGAAGGCGGGGAUUCCUUCAGAAUUCAGGGGGGCAUGCUACAAGAUCGAUAUAGGCCCUUGUUGGUCGAGAUCUUUCUCACUCAUGAAAAGAAAUGACCAGACGGAAAGAGAAGUAAAAGCCAAGCUCUCAGCUGUAUUCGUCUGCAAGAGGAGUCACCUUAAAGUUCCCCCGGAAAAGAGGAAAUUGAAUCAUUCUGGAGGAAGGCCUCGUGAAAACAUAAAAGAAGGAAGCCCUCCUGGAGCAUCUGAGGAGGACAGAGAUAACUGCUCGUUUAUUGUGACACCUUCUGGAACUUGCCUCUCCAUGGAUGCGCAUACACAAGUUCCAUAGAGCACGUGAGAGUCUGGAGUUUUCUUAAGACAGAUCAUGACCCAUCCUGAGCCUUGCUUUUUUCAUUCAUUAUAUAUUACAUAUAUUUACAUUUCUAGUAUAUUACUACAACAUUUCUCAGAGAUCUUGCCACACCAGGACACGGAGACCGCCCCAUUCUAGUGGCCCAGAUGUGGCACCUUGAAUGCUGAAGAGUGCACGGACCCAAAUCUCACUUUUGUCCCUGCUGGAGAGGCUGGAAAUUUACUGACUCUUGGUGUGCUUCAGUUUCACGCUGCUAAAAUGGUCAUAAGGACAGUAUCCGUGCCGUAUUAAAAAGUUAAUACAUGAAAAGCCCUUAGAACAGGGUCUGGUGCAUUGUAAGCAACAGAGAAAUGUUUAUCCGUUGUUAAUCAUUUAUAUGGCUACACGGUAGGUCUAUGCUAUGGUGUAGUUUCUCAUUGAUGUACGCUUAGGUUGUCAAUAAGUUUUGCUAUUAUUAAUAAAGAGUGCUUGCCCUAAACACGUGUCCUUAUGUCUCUUUAUGUAUGUAUUCCUCCCCUAUGUGUUUCUGCAGGGUAGAGUAAAAAAAGUGGAAUUCCGCAGGAAGGGAUUGCUUGUCAGAGACAGCAGUUUUGCCAAAUUGGGUUAGGGUUAGGGAAUUUAUAUUCCUGCCCGUAAAGGAGAGCACCAAUUUUUCCAUACUCUUAUCAUCAUUUACUGUUUCAAAUAUUUCAUUCCUCUAAAGAAUGAGAAAUAAUCUUUCUUUCAUGUUUUCAUCUGAAUGUCUCAAAUUACCAGUGGGAACAAAAAUAUGUUCAUGUUUAUGGCUCAUUGAGGUUUCCUCAAGGUGAAUUCCCUCCUCACAGCCUUUGGCCAUUUUUAUAUUGAGCUGUUUGAUUUGUGGACUCUGUGGAUAUAUUCUGAAGGACACUGAAUUUGUUAUAUGCUGCCCGUAUUCCCCUCCCCACCCCCAUCUAAGUAUUAAUUUGUUAAAGUUCUCCAAGGAAACCUAACCGGUUCUCAACCUGUCCUGUCAUCCGUGGGCUCUCAGGAGGAUUAAACCACAAGGAUACCACUACGGCCGUGCUCAAACCACAGCUCUAAUAAAAGAUGGCGUGGCCUAGGUGGGGACUCAGCUCAAAAAAUGAUUGGUGAGCCAAACACCGCCCAACCUUGGCUGGUCCAGGCAGGGAUGUUUCCCUAAGAGUCCCUGAAUUUUGUGUUUCUGAUUACUUCUGCAUCCUGAGCUGCAGCUACCCUGGGAAUGUGGUUCCCGGGGAGGAGGUGGUGAGCUGCCAGCCUCUGAGAGGAAACACAACAAGCUCUGGCAUGAUAGACCUGAGCGAUGGAGAAUGAGCAUGAACCCUCGCAAAAUUCUCCUGGGACCUUCCAUUUAAAGUAGCAGCACCCACAUCGCUAGAAGCAGGUAGAAAGGCUGAAUGCUGAGCCCGGAGCAGACCCACUGAAUCUGCAUUUCAGUGAGACCCGCUCAGGGUUCUUGUGCCCAUCACAGUCUGAGAAGCACGCCUCUAAGGCUGUUUAAACAGGCGAGAAGUACCUGGGGAGUGGGCCUAGGGCUUCAAUUACCAUCAGUUAUUAGUUGAACUGCAGCCCCUAAAAUUCCCUGUGUUGAGUCCUGAGCCCUCAGCCCACCAGAAAAGUGAAAGGCACUCAGCUGUGUCUGAGCCUGUGCGACCUCAUGGACUGUAGCCCGCCAGGCUCCUGUGUCCAUGGGAUUCUCCAGGCAAGAACACUGGAGCGGGUAGCUGUUCCCUUUUCCAAGGCAUCUUCCCAACCCAGGGAUCAAACCCAGGUCUCCUGCAUUGCAGGUGGAUUCUUUACUGUGUGAGCCGCCAGGGAAGCCAGAAGAUGACCUUAGUUGGAGACAGGGUUGCUUCAGAUGUUGUUAGUUAAGAUGAGGCUAUACCAGGCCAGGCUGGAGGCUUAAUGCAGUAUAACUGGAGUCCUUGUAAAGGGGACACUGGGCACAGGAGAGCGUCCUGUGAAGAUGAAGGCAAAGGUCAGGCGGUGCAGCAGAAGCCAGCAGUGCCGGGUUUCAUUAGCAAACCCCCAGGAGCUAGAAGAGAGCCUUGGAACCCACCCUCACAGCCCAGAGAAGGAACCCACUCUGCCAGCACUGAGGUCUUAGAAGCUCAGCCUCCAGGGCUGUGAGAUGAGGCAGUUCUGUUGUUUAAGCCCCUAGUUGGUGGAAUUUAUUAGAGCAGCAAAGUAACAUACCGUCCCAUGGGUUUCCCCUGAUGGAGGAGCCGGGCAUGCAGUGCCCUGGAAAAGACACGCCCAGGUUUAUCUUCCGGAUGAUGAAAACAUGUAGGGGAAUAAAUAGGACUCAAGACAUCAGCUCCCUCUCAGGCAAUAUGUCCCUGUCUCAGCUCCUCCUGCAUGUUGUUCUCAUUUCGCAGGGCGUCAGCACUCGGCACCUUGACAGUGUGCGUGCCCAGGAUGCGUGCAGCUCUCUCCUCGCCCUUAAAUAAAGUGGGAAGCAGUUAGGUGCCGAGAAGGGCCGGCUGAUGGAAUAACCCUGUGAUCUUGCUUCUGCUCAGGUGUUGUAACUAAUGGGCUGUUUAGAGAC